UAUAGAAUGCCCGAAGGAGAGGGAUUAUUUUGAUAGAAUAAUAAUGCUAUGAUGCUUCUAUAA
rnacentral:tRNA from 1 species